GACACACUUGCGGACUAUAGCCAAUGCUGAUACAUGCACCUCCGUGGUGUAUAUGCACAGUUCAUACUGUACACGCCGCUGGAAACGUCAUGAGGGAUCUGUCCCAGGUCGAUAUAAAUAUAGCCACAUAGCCGGCUGUUUCCCCUCGAGAAUGCAGCCUGCGGGGAACACAUUGCAAGGGCAGAACGGGCAUUGCUUAAAAUCCCAGUUGAGGGGCAACAUGGUUUAACGUCAGCCCUGGUUCUCACACCAGAUCUGCGGGCAUCCGCUCCAUAGGUUUGCAUAUUGACGAUCAAAUGAGGCGUCCGCUGGCCAUGUUGGCGAGAUAGAGUUUGGCGAUACGAAUCCUACUUACCCCGAGAGCUCUGUCGAUAUACAAAGCAACAUAGCGAUUAGUUAGUGGUAUUAUUCCCAGGUUUAGCAAGGAUUGUCAUCUUUCAUCAGCUGCUGGGCGUCAAUGUGAUAAUGGCAGGGCAUCUUGUUGUCCCAUGUCCGUGAUGUUCAUGAUGUUCAUGAAUCAAAGGGAAGUUUUAAUUCCUGCAUAGCCGAUUCAUCCAUUCUACUUUGGCAUGUCAUUCUCCACGCCUCCCAUGAAGAGAGAAAAAAAAAACAAAGACGGAUUUAUAUUGCAUUCUGGAGGGAUGCGCUAGUCUACUAAUCUCAGUGUCUGGGUUGUCACGAAAACCCAGUCCGAAGCGCUUCGUGAAGUAUGUCCAUGGUUUAGCAUGCAUGAGGCCCCCUAUUUUGUGCUACGGGAGAGAAAAAAGAGAG
rnacentral:sRNA from 1 species